AUGCGAAGGUUCUGCAGCGUCCCGCGCGGCCGGCGGCCGGCGGCCCCCCGCGGCGGCGGCCACCCGCCGCCGGAGUGGAUCGAGCCGUACACGGACCUCGCCGACCCGAGCCCGUACACGGCCGCCUCGGCGGCCCCGCCCACCCCGUCGCCGUGGCUGCCGCGCGUGGUCUCCCUGGUCCUCCGCGCGCCGCCGGCCACGCUCGCAGCCGACCUGCGCGCCUUCUGCCGCACCUUCCUCCUGCGCCUCUCCCCGGCCUUCGUCGCCGCCGCGCUGCGCUCCCCACAGCUCCUGCCCCACCCGCUCCCGUCGCUCCGCUUCUUCCGCGCCCUGCCCAACGGCACCGACGACCUCGCCGCCCACCCGCAGCACCUCCUCGGCUGCUACGUCUCGUUGCUGCACUCCUUCGCGCACGCCCGGGAGGCCACCCCCGACGCCGCCGGCCACGCGCGGCGGCUCGUCGCCAAGCUGCACGCCCGCGGGGACGGCCUGCUGCGGCACCUCACGCCGCCGUCGGCCGCGUCGCUCGUCCGCAGCCUCGCGGCCCUCGGCCUCGCCGACGAGCUGCUGUGGGCUUGGAACGGCAUGCGCCUCGCCGGCGUCGAGCCGUCCAGGGUCACCUACAACUGCCUCCUCGACGGCCUCGUCAACGCGGGCCUCCUUGACACCGCCGUCAGCGUGUUCGACGCAAUGUCCACUGAAGACCCGGUUCGCCCUGACGUGGUCUCCUACAACAUUCUCAUCAAGGGGUACUGCCGCGCCGGGAGGGUGCAGGAUGCGAUGGCUCGGCUCGAUCACAUGAGGGAAUGGGCGGAGCUCUCGCCCGACAAGAUAACAUACCUUACACUGAUGCAGUGCCAUUACAGCGAGGGCACGUUUUCACAGUGCGUAGCGUUGUUCCAGGAAAUGGAAGAGAGGGGAAUGGGGAAGGACAUUCCGCAGCAUGCAUAUGUGCUGGUGAUCGGCGCGCUCUGCAAGGACGGGAAGCCGUUUGAGGGAAUGGCCGUGUUCGAGAGAAUGCUCAAGCGUGGUUGCCCAGCCAAAGCAGCAAUGUACACUUCGCUCAUUGAUUCAAUGGGCAAAUUUGGUAGGGAAACCGAGGCAAUGUCACUCUUUGAGAGGAUGAAGACCAGCGGGCUUGAGCUCGACGCGGUUACAUAUGGAGUGAUUGUUAACUGCUUGUGCCGGUUUGGGAAGCUGGAUGAGGCCAUUUCAUGUUUCAGGAGUUGUGAGGAGAAAGGUAUUGCAGUGAACCCUAUCUUCUAUACAAGCCUGAUUGAUGGCUUUGGGAAAGCUGGAAUGGUCGACCAAGCACAGGAGCUCUUCGAGGAGAUGAAAGUUAAAGGUUUUGUGCCGGACUCAUACUGUUACAACGUGCUGAUAGAUGGGUUGGCUAAAGCAGGAAGGACAGAUGAUGCUUGCGCCUUGUACAAGAGGAUGGAAGAUGAUGGCUGUGAUCAGACUGUUUACACGUAUACCAUACUGAUCGAUGGUUUGUUCAAGGAACACAAGAAUGAGGAGGCGCUGAAGUUGUGGGAUGCGAUGAUCGACAAGGGGAUAACUCCCACAGCUGCAGCUUUCAGGGCCCUUGCCAACGGGCUAUGUCUUUCUGGCAAAUACAGCCGAGCAUGCAGGAUAUUGGAUGAACUGGCUCCAAUGGGUGUGAUUCCUGAGACGGCACACGAGGACAUGAUCAAUGCUCUGUGCAGGGCCGGCAGAUUCAAGCAGGCCUGCAAAUUGGCAGAUGGCAUCGUAGGAAAGGGCCGUGAGAUACCCGGCAGGGUUCGAACAAUGAUGAUCAACGCACUCAGGAAAGCGGGGAAUACUGAUCUAGCGGUCAAGCUGGUGCAUAGUAAGAUAGGCAUUGGGUAUGAAAGAUCUGGCAGCAUCAAGAGAAGAGUGAAGUUUCAGACGCUGUUUGCCUGA
rnacentral:rRNA from 1 species